rnacentral:rRNA from 1 species
UACGGGGGGGGCAAGCGUUGUUCGGAAUUACUGGGCGUAAAGGGCUCGUAGGUGGCCAACUAAGUCAGACGUGAAAUCCCUCGGCUUAACCGGGGAACUGCGUCUGAUACUGGAUGGCUUGAGUUUGGGAGAGGGACGCGGAAUUCCAGGUGUAGCGGUGAAAUGCGUAGAUAUGUGGAGGAACACCGAUGGCGAAGGCAGCCCCCUGGGUUAACACCUGACGCUCAUGCACGAAAGCGUGGGGAGCAAACAGG